rnacentral:piRNA from 1 species
UAAGGAAGAAAGCAUCUCGGGGG